rnacentral:rRNA from 1 species
UACGAAGGGGCUAGCGUUGCUCGGAAUCACUGGGCGUAAAGGGUGCGUAGGCGGGUUUUUAAGUCAGGGGUGAAAUCCUGGAGCUCAACUCCAGAACUGCCUUUGAUACUGAAGAUCUUCGAGUCCGGGAGAGGUGAGUGGAACUGCGAGUGUAGAGGUGAAAUUCGUAGAUAUUCGCAAGAACACCAGUGGCGAAGGCGGCUCACUGGCCCGGUACUGACGCUGAGGUCGC